GCGCGAAAGCGUGGGGAGCAAACAGGAUUAAAUACCCUUGGUAGUCCACGCCGUAAACGAAUGAAUGCUAAGUGUUUAGAGGGUUUUCCGCCCUUUAGUGCUGCAGCUAACGCAUUUAAGCACUUCCGCCUGGGGAGUACGGUCGCAAGAACUGAAACUCAAAGGAAUUUGACGGGGGCCCGCACAAGCGGUGGAACAUGUGGUUUAAUUUCGAAGCAACGCGAAAAACCUUACCAGGUCUUGACAUUCCUCUGACAACUUCUAGAGAUAGAGCGUUCCCCUUCGGGGGACAGAGUGACAGGUGGUGCAUGGUUGUCGUCAGCUCGUGUCGUGAGAUGUUGGGUUAAGUCCCGCAACGAGCGCAACCCUUGAUCUUAGUUGCCAGCAUUUAGUUGGGCACUCUAAGGUGACUGCCGGUGACAAACCGGAGGAAGGUGGGGAUGACGUCAAAUCAUCAUGCCCCUUAUGACCUGGGCUACACACGUGCUACUAUGGAUGGUACAAAGGGCUGCAAGACCGCGAGGUCAAGCCAAUCCCAUAAAACCAUUCUCAGUUCGGAUUGUAGGCUGCAACUCGCCUACAUGAAGCUGGAAU
rnacentral:rRNA from 2 species